rnacentral:rRNA from 1 species
AUGUGCACCCGCAGAACCGAUGUUGUUCAGCACCAGCAGGAGCAGCCGCGUCACUCCAUGCACCGACAUCAACCACGUCCACGUCUAGCACCUCAGCCGACAGCCAGGCCACCCCGUCCUGACCAACCUGGCAGUUCUACGUGGCACCGCAGCACUAUGGUCCCACGUCGAGCUUCGUGUUUUCUCCACAGCCACAGCAACAUGGUCCCUCGUCGAGCUUCGUGUUUUCUCCACAGCCACAGCAGCACGGUCCCUCGUCCAGUUUCGUGUUUGAGCCAGAGCAGAUGUCACACCCAGCAGGAGCCUAUGGAUAUCAGGCGUCUAUGUCGGCAUCACAUGAUACGUGGGGGAGUGAUCAACAUCCCGAGGACAACAUACAGGCUCAGAUGUCGCAGCACACCCAGUGGAUGA